AAAGACGGUCUUGCUGUCACUUAUAGAUGGAUCCGCGCUGCAUUAGCUAGUUGGUAAGGUAACGGCUUACCAAGGCAACGAUGCAUAGCCGACCUGAGAGGGUGAUCGGCCACACUGGAACUGAGACACGGUCCAGACUCCUACGGGAGGCAGCAGUAGGGAAUCUUCCGCAAUGGGCGAAAGCCUGACGGAGCAACGCCGCGUGAGUGAUGAAGGUCUUCGGAUCGUAAAACUCUGUUAUUAGG
rnacentral:rRNA from 1 species